CUCAGAUUGAACGCUGGCGGCAGGCCUAACACAUGCAAGUCGAGCGGUAGCACGGGAGAGCUUGCUCUCUGGGUGACGAGCGGCGGACGGGUGAGUAAUGUCUGGGGAUCUGCCUGAUGGAGGGGGAUAACUACUGGAAACGGUAGCUAAUACCGCAUAACGUCGCAAGACCAAAGAGGGGGACCUUCGGGCCUCUUGCCAUCAGAUGAACCCAGAUGGGAUUAGCUAGUAGGUGGGGUAAUGGCUCACCUAGGCGACGAUCCCUAGCUGGUCUGAGAGGAUGACCAGCCACACUGGAACUGAGACACGGUCCAGACUCCUACGGGAGGCAGCAGUGGGGAAUAUUGCACAAUGGGCGCAAGCCUGAUGCAGCCAUGCCGCGUGUAUGAAGAAGGCCUUCGGGUUGUAAAGUACUUUCAGCGAGGAGGAAGGCGUUAAGGUUAAUAACCUUAGCGAUUGACGUUACUCGCAGAAGAAGCACCGGCUAACUCCGUGCCAGCAGCCGCGGUAAUACGGAGGGUGCAAGCGUUAAUCGGAAUUACUGGGCGUAAAGCGCACGCAGGCGGUUUGUUAAGUCGGAUGUGAAAUCCCCGGGCUCAACCUGGGAACUGCAUUCGAAACUGGCAAGCUUGAGUCUUGUAGAGGGGGGUAGAAUUCCAGGUGUAGCGGUGAAAUGCGUAGAGAUCUGGAGGAAUACCGGUGGCGAAGGCGGCCCCCUGGACAAAGACUGACGCUCAGGUGCGAAAGCGUGGGGAGCAAACAGGAUUAGAUACCCUGGUAGUCCACGCCGUAAACGAUGUCGACUUGGAGGUUGUGCCCUUGAGGCGUGGCUUCCGGAGCUAACGCGUUAAGUCGACCGCCUGGGGAGUACGGCCGCAAGGUUAAAACUCAAAUGAAUUGACGGGGGCCCGCACAAGCGGUGGAGCAUGUGGUUUAAUUCGAUGCAACGCGAAGAACCUUACCUACUCUUGACAUCCAGAGAACUUUCCAGAGAUGGAUUGGUGCCUUCGGGAACUCUGAGACAGGUGCUGCAUGGCUGUCGUCAGCUCGUGUUGUGAAAUGUUGGGUUAAGUCCCGCAACGAGCGCAACCCUUAUCCUUUGUUGCCAGCGGUUCGGCCGGGAACUCAAAGGAGACUGCCAGUGAUAAACUGGAGGAAGGUGGGGAUGACGUCAAGUCAUCAUGGCCCUUACGAGUAGGGCUACACACGUGCUACAAUGGCGCAUACAAAGAGAAGCGACCUCGCGAGAGCAAGCGGACCUCAUAAAGUGCGUCGUAGUCCGGAUUGGAGUCUGCAACUCGACUCCAUGAAGUCGGAAUCGCUAGUAAUCGUAGAUCAGAAUGCUACGGUGAAUACGUUCCCGGGCCUUGUACACACCGCCCGUCACACCAUGGGAGUGGGUUGCAAAAGAAGUAGGUAGCUUAACCUUCGGGAGGGCGCUAC
rnacentral:rRNA from 1 species